ensembl:snRNA U6 U6 spliceosomal RNA
GUGCUCACUUUGGUAGCACAUAUACUAAAUUUGGAGCAAUGCAGAUUAGUAUGGCCCCUAUGUGAGAUUGACAUGCAUAUUUGUGAAGUAUUGCAAGUUUCA